AGUGAACGCUGGCGGUAGGCCUAACACAUGCAAGUCGAACGGCAGCACAGUAAGAGCUUGCUCUUACGGGUGGCGAGUGGCGGACGGGUGAGGAAUACAUCGGAAUCUACUUUUUCGUGGGGGAUAACGUAGGGAAACUUACGCUAAUACCGCAUACGACCUACGGGUGAAAGCAGGGGAUCUUCGGACCUUGCGCGAUUGAAUGAGCCGAUGUCGGAUUAGCUAGUUGGCGGGGUAAAGGCCCACCAAGGCGACGAUCCGUAGCUGGUCUGAGAGGAUGAUCAGCCACACUGGAACUGAGACACGGUCCAGACUCCUACGGGAGGCAGCAGUGGGGAAUAUUGGACAAUGGGCGCAAGCCUGCUCCAGCCAUACUGCGUGGGUGAAGAAGGCCUUCGGGUUGUAAAGCCCUUUUGUUGGGAAAGAAAAGCAGCAGGUUAAUACCCCGCUGUUCUGACGGUACCCAAAGAAUAAGCACCGGCUAACUUCGUG
rnacentral:rRNA from 1 species